rnacentral:tRNA from 3 species
GCCGACGUAGCACAGGGGUAGUGCAACUCAUUCGUAAUGAGUAGGUCGGGGGUUCAAAUCCCUCCGUCGGCACCA